rnacentral:rRNA from 1 species
CGCUGGCGGCGCGUUUAAGCAUGCAAGUCGAGCGGCAAGGGCCUUCGGGCCCCUAGAGCGGCGGACGGGUGAGUAACACGUGGACAAUCUGCCCCCCGGCCCGGGAUAGCCCAGGGAAACCUGGAUUAAUACCGGAUGAGACGGGACCCGCGAUGGCGGGACCCGGGAAGGCGCUGCGGCGCCGCCGGGGGAUGAGUCUGCGUCCCAUUAGCUAGACGGCGGGGUAACGGCCCACCGUGGCGACGAUGGGUAGCCGGCCUGAGAGGGUGGACGGCCACAUUGGAACUGAGACACGGUCCAGACUCCUACGGGAGGCAGCAGCUAAGAAUCUUCCGCAAUGGGCGAAAGCCUGACGGAGCGACGCCCGCGUGAACGAAGAAGGCCGUGAGGUUGUAAAGUUCUUUUCGGGAGAGGGAACAACCGUGGCAGGGAAUGGCCGCGGGAUGACGUGAAUCCCGGAAUAAGCCCCAGCUAACUACGUGCCAGCCGCCGC